rnacentral:misc_RNA from 1 species
AAUGCCACUGUUACCAUGAGGCCUUACAACCUUGCCCCAAAUGCAACGAUAAUGAGAUCCGUUCUUCUUCACUUUAGCCUUGUAAAUAUAUGCCAAUCGCUUUCCUUGGUACCAGGAAACCUCAUCCUUGGAAUUAACACCCUCGAUCUGGAGUAAAGAAGUGUUUGGGUACUGGUUCGACUUCGACCUCUUGUAGCCGAGAAUUGUUCCCCUGGUGUAGAGUCUGACUCUCUCUCCUUGCCUUCCUUUCACCAUCUUCG